rnacentral:lncRNA from 1 species
CACUUCCAGCUUUUAUUCUUGGUUCCUAAGUAGUUUUGGAUCAAAACCAUCUGGCAAAGGGGAAGUAAUUAAGAAUUCAAGUUUACAUGUUUGAAAUUCAAACUCACCAGCUUUGAUGUUAACCUCUUAGAAUUAUUUUUACUUUUGUCAAAGAAACCUUUUAAGGCAUAGAUUUGUUGUAAGUGACCAAGGAGUUAGGGCAGGGACAAAGGGAAGAGGGAAAUGGGGGGGGGGGAGAAAACACUUUGGGAAUUUAGGGAAAAUUUUUAUACUGUAACUAGAAUAGGAUCAGAGAUGUUAGAGCCUAGAUGAAAAAAGAUAUAUUGGUCCAACCAGCAUGGAUUGCAGCCUGAGACUCCUUCUGCCAUCAAAGCACUGAAUUUCUAACUUGGGCUGAGGAGUUAGGGGGACACUGAAGUGACAGCCACCACCAAGUCUCCUGCCCUGCAGGGUCCAGAUGGUGAAGACAGUGAAAUUGGCUGCAGUGGUUCCCAGGUCAAUGCUAUGGGCCCAACAAAGCUGUGGGGCUCUUGGCAGGGAAAGGAGAGUCCAGGAAGUGAUGCCGAUGCUUCCUUCCUGGAGGUCUGCUGGGGAAAGCCAUGCCUGCAGAUAACCAGACCAAAGUACAGAAAUUUAUUCAUCAAGGAGGGUUUGGUCCACUUUGUGCUGCUGUAACACAAUAUCGGAGACCGAGUCAUUUACAAAGCACAGAGAUUUCUUACAAUUCUAGAGGCUGAGAAGCCCAAGCCAAGGCCUCACAUCUGCAUUAUCCCAUGGUGGAAGGCAAAAGGGCAACAGAGCACACGUGUGAUGUGAGUGAGGACAGAGGAUAAACCCAUCCUUUCAUCCAGAACCCAGACCUGCAUACCUAAGCCGCUUCUGGGAUGAUGGGGCAUGGUCAAUUUACUCAUGACAGCAGGGCCCUCAUGACCAUCACCUCUUAAAGGCCCACCUCCCUACACUGUCUCACUUGCUGUUUCCAAGACAUGAACCCUG